rnacentral:rRNA from 1 species
AUGGAGGCAGCAGCAUCAACAUCCUCUAUUAUGAGACCUUCCGUCGUAUGGGAUUUGAUUGAUAAGAACCUCAGCCAGUCAAACACUAUUUUCCAUGGUGUGGUACCUGGUAAGUCGGCUUAUCCAGUCGGCAAGAUCGAGUUGGAAGUGGCCUUUGGAGACGAGCACAACUACAGGGUGGAAAAAUUGACCUUUGAGGUGGUUAAGAUAAGAAGUCCGUACCAUGCCAUAUUUGGGCGGCCGGCUUACGCCAAGUCCAUGGCACGGCCGUGUUACGUGUAUUUACAGCUCAAGAUGCCGGGUCAUAAUGGGACCAUUAUAGUUCACGGCAGCCGGAAGGUGGCCUUGGAGUGUGAGGAAGGCGAUGCAGCUUAUGCAGAAUCUGUUUGCGCAACAGAGGAGUUGAAGUUUUACAAGGACAAUGCUGACCCAACAGAUAUGACC